CCCACCCGUGAUUGUUGCGUUGCAGGCGACAACGACGGGACGGAGCCGUUUACCUCCGGCAACCUCCUCCGCCACACCAUUUCUUCAGAGUUCUCUCGAUGAAGGGGAGAGAUGCAGCCGUGCGCGUCUCGCAAGCUCUCCCGUCCCUCCCAUGGCUCACACUGGUCCAGCGAGACCGCCCGCGAUGCUCCUUGCCCCCUCCGCCGGCCAGACAUGGGCGCCUCGCCCAGCCGCCGCCCCACCGCUCCGGCGCCUCCUCCCCGCGGUGCGGCGUGCUCGCGUGUGCGUGCCCCGGUGCACCAGCGACGCCUCUCCCCCGCGCCCCGGCGCCACGACACACAGCCCAGCUCGCAGCAAGUGCUCGCCGUUGCUUGAGAGUGCUCUGUUGUCGCCUGGCGGAAAUGAACCGCCUGCGGAUGAGUGGAAGGCGGUUCCGGAUAUUUGGAGGACGGCAGCACAAAAAUACCCUGACAGUGUAGCUCUGGUUGAUCCUUACCACGAUCCUCCGUCCGAGUUGACUUAUAAGCAGCUUGAACAACAAAUACUGGACUUCUCUCAUGGUCUGAGGGCCGUGGGUGUUGCUCCAGAUGAAAAGCUAGCCCUUUUUGCUGACAACUCGUGUCGGUGGCUAGUUGCAGAUCAAGGAAUCAUGGCUACUGGUGCUAUCAAUGUUGUUAGAGGAACAAAAUCUUCUGAUGAAGAACUGUUCCAAAUAUACAAUCACUCGGAAAGUAUUGCACUUGUUGUGGACAGUCCUCAAUUCUUUAACCGGCUUGCAGAAACUUUCAUUUCAAGGAUUAAUGCAAGAUUUAUUGUGCUACUUUGGGGUGAUAAAUCAUCCCUAAAUAGUAAAGCUGUGAUGGACAUACCAGUUUAUGACUACAAUGAUAUCACUGAACUUGGACAAGAAAAUCGCAAUGCAUUGUGCUACUCAAGUGAGCAAGGUCGGCAAGGUGUCUUCGAAGCCAUUACUCCAGAAGAUGUUGCGACUCUAAUAUAUACCAGUGGAACAAGCGGCACACCAAAAGGCGUGAUGCUUACCCACCGAAAUCUCUUGCAUCAGAUAAAUAACAUGUGGGAGAUUGUUCCAGCAGUACCUGGUGAUAGGUUCCUAAGCAUGCUUCCACCCUGGCAUGCAUAUGAGCGUUCUGCCGAGUAUUUCAUCCUCACUCAUGGAACUCAACAAAUUUACAGUAGUGUGAAAUACCUGAAGGCAGAUUUGCAGAAGUACCAACCUCAUUAUAUUUUCUCUGUACCACUGGUCUAUGAAACUCUGUACAGCUCGAUUCAGAGGCAGAUAUCUUCCAGUUAUCCUGCUCGGAAAACUGUUGCCCUUGCACUUAUCAAGAUAAGUUUGCUAUAUAUGGAGGCAAAGAAGAUAUUCGAGGGAACAGUCUUAUCAAACAAUCCUGUCAAGCCAUCGUCCAUUUCCUACAUGUUCAAUUGUGUAUGGGCAAGAAUUAUCGCUGCUCUUUUGUGGCCCUUGCAUAAUCUGGCAAAGAUGUUAGUCUACAACAAAAUCCAUUCUACAAUCGGAAUUUCGAAGGCUGCUAUAAGUGGUGGUGGAAGUCUCCCGAUGCAUGUGGACAAGUUUUUUGAGGCCAUUGGUAUCAAAGUGCAAAAUGGCUAUGGUCUAACAGAGACUUCCCCUGCUGUAGCUGCUAGGCGUCCAUUCUGUAAUGUUCUUGGCACAGUUGGCCACCCAAUAAAGCAUACAGAAAUCAAGAUUGUGGACAUAGAGACCGGUGAGGUGCUCCCAGAUGGUUCAAAGGGGAUUGUGAAGAUUAAAGGACCACCAGUAAUGAAGGGAUAUUAUAAGAAUCCAUCUGCUACAAAUAAUGCUUUGGAUCAAGAAGGUUGGUUCAACACUGGAGAUAUAGGCUGGAUUGCACCUCACCAUGCCACAGGGCCUAGUCGAAAAUGUGGAGGGAUACUUGUUCUUGAAGGGCGUGCAAAGGAUACGAUAGUUCUUGCUACAGGUGAGAAUGUUGAACCUGCUGAGCUUGAGGAAAUAGCAAGCAGGAGUAGCUUGAUUGAUCAAAUAAUGGUUAUUGGCCAGGAUCGACGACGCCUUGGUGCAAUUGUUGUUCCCAAUAAUAAUGAAGCUCUAGCAGCUGCAAAAAGAAAGUCCAGCCUCGAUGGGAACAAUGACGAAGCCAAAGAUACGGUCAUGAACUUGCUAUAUGAUGAGCUGAGAACUUGAUUGCAGAUGUUCCAUAAUCAGAAGAGAAUUAAAUCACUCAUUGAAAGUUAAAACAAAAUCAGCAGUAGUGAGACACUGGAUGGCGGGUUGCUCAUUCCAGAUUGGCCCUAUUCUUGUUGUUGAAGAACCAUUUACGAUUGAUAAUGGUUUGAUGACACCAACCAUGAAGAUAAGAAGGGACAGAGUGGCAGCCAAAUAUCAGAGUGAAAUUGAAGCUUUGUACAAGUGAGAUGUGAACCCAGGGUCGGCCCAUAGGUUGUGCAAACAAGUCAACCGCCCCGAGCCCUGUUUGAUGGAAGUGAAAUUUUAAGAUUGUCCCAAAUUGUUUUGGUCCGUUCAUUUUAAGACGAGGUCAUGUUUACCUUGUCAAGGUUAAUAGCAUCUUUGCAAUUCAAUAGUUCAUUAGUUAGCAAAAACUAAAUGGUAGGGUUAAUGUAGAUGGAAAGAAACAUGUAGUCAACUACUGAUACACUGUACAUAUCCAUGGGCUGGUAUGGUAUGAAAACCAUGUAAAUGGAUAUUAUCUCCUAAUUAUUCCUUUUCAUUUCGUUCAAA